rnacentral:rRNA from 1 species
UACGUAGGGUGCGAGCGUUGUCCGGAUUUAUUGGGCGUAAAGAGCUUGUAGGCGGCUCGCCGCGUCGGGUGUGAAAACUUGCGGCUUAACCGCAAGCCUGCACCCGAUACGGGCGGGCUAGAGUUCGGCAGGGGAGACUGGAAUUCCUGGUGUAGCGGUGGAAUGCGCAGAUAUCAGGAGGAACACCAAUGGCGAAGGCAGCUCGCUGGGACGGUACUGACGCUGAGACGCGAAAGCGUGGGGAGCAAACAGG